ensembl:snRNA LOC120097288 U4 spliceosomal RNA
AGCUUUGCGCAGUGGCAGUAUCGUAGCCAAUGAGGUUUAUCCAAGGCGCAAUUAUUGCUAAUUGAAAACUUAGUUGUGGGUCACUGCUUCAGAGUCAAAUAGAUGGAUAAGUAGGCAAUAAAAUGUUACUUAGAAU